AUGGGGAUAAUUUCUUCACAAAAACACCAUAAUCAGCAUGGAAUUUUGAACCCAGCAGUGACGAAGGGACCAUCUAUUGUUAAAAGAAAUUUUGUCAGCACAAACCCUAAUUAUCUACGAACUCUUAGUCAGACACAUGCUGGCUGGAUCUUUGGAGCAAUAGCAGAACUCAUUGAUAACUCCAGGGACGCUGGUGCAUCCAGGUUGGAUAUUUCCAUCCAAUCUAUGUUUUCAAAGCAAGCAGGGCAAAAAGUUCCUGUCUUAUGUGUUGUUGAUAAUGGCCAUGGAAUGACUUAUGCCCAAAUGAUGAGAAUGGUCUCAUUUGGUCACAAAGGACCAAAUGAACACUGCCAGGAUCAGAUUGGGAGGUUUGGAAUUGGAUUUAAGACUGGUGCUAUGGAACUUGGGAGAGAUGCAUUUGUGCUUACCCAAACUUCAACGUCCAGAUCAGUAUCCUUUCUAUCCCAAUCUUUUAAUGAAAAUAAAGAUAAUCUUGAGAUCCCUGUGGUGACAUAUUGCAAGAAAGAUCAAUACAUGGAAGUUGAUUUGGGUGUGCAGUCUGAAGCUACUGCAGAAUAUAACCUGAAUGCUAUCAAGAAAUUUUCCCCAUUUAAUGAGUAUUUCAUUGGAGAAAAGGUGGGCUUAUUUGGUGAAGAGGGUACUGGCACACAGGUUUACAUAUGGAAUUUGGAUAGAUGGGGUACAAAUUACACCUUAGAGUGGAACUCACAAAAAACUGAUGAAAGCCCUGACAGUCAUGGCAAUGGGGACAUAUUAAUCCGUUCAAGAAGAGUCAGAUCACGUCCAGGACAAACAAAUGGCAAUGUACCGUUGGAUUAUUCACUUAAAGCUUAUGUAGAAGUUAUGUUUCUGAAUCCUCAGAUGAAAAUUACUGUCCAAGGGUCUCCGGUAAAUACUCAUAUGCCCUCAUAG
rnacentral:rRNA from 1 species